UUGGGGGAUCUGCCAAAAGUACUGUUUGAGAAGGGUUUGAAGUAAUGGUACCUCAUGAUGGUACCAAUCAGAGGGAGGAUUAUAGUGAAUAUGCUUAGGGAGGUAGGAAUCUUUGGACUUGCCUAAGUGGGCUAAAGGCCCCAGGAGGAGGAAAUUUAAAGAGCUUAAAAAUAUCAAUUCAGAAAGAAUAAAAAAAAGUUAUUGCUGAUGAUAGAGAAGAAAAUCAGGGAGACCAUUCUAAGACGUCUCUAUCAUCGGUAAUAAACGUUGAGGCAGCUCAAGAAUUACCUAAGUCCAGGGAUGCUGGCAUUAGUGGGCUACAUGAUCUUCUAGAAACCAGGUUCUUUCCAAAGCCAAAGGGAUGGAUCUAGAGUUCAU